CAUUACCGUGGGGCUUCGGCCCCAUUGAGAUAGCACCCUUUGUUUAUGAGUACCCUUGUUUCCUCGGCGGGCUUGCCCGCCAUGAGGACAUUAAAAACCCUUUGUAGUAGCAGUAACUUCAGUUAAUAAUAAAUAUUAAAACUUUCAACAACGGAUCUCUUGGUUCUGGCAUCGAUGAAGAACGCAGCGAAAUGCGAUAAGUAGUGUGAAUUGCAGAAUUCAGUGAAUCAUCGAAUCUUUGAACGCACAUUGCGCCCUUCGGUAUUCCGUUGGGCAUGCCUGUUCGAGCGUCAUUUAAACCUUCAAGCUAUGCUUGGUGUUGGGUGUUUGUUCCGCCUCAGCGCGUGGACUCGCCUUAAAUUCAUUGGCAGCCGGUAUGUUGGCUUCGUGCGCAGCACAUUGCAAGCGAUUUCAGCAGACCCCCUUCCACAAGCCUUUUUUUACUUUGACCUCGGAUCAGGUAGGGAUACCCGCUGAACUUAAGCAUAUCAAUAAGCGGAGGA
rnacentral:rRNA from 1 species